rnacentral:rRNA from 1 species
GGGUCAGUAGGUUGGUCGUGCCACCGGUACGUACUGGUCUCACUGAUUCCUCCUUCCUGAAGAACCGUAAUGCCAUUAAUUUGGUGUUGCGGGGAAACAGGACUGUUACUUUGAAAAAAUUAGAGUGUUUAAAGCAAGCUAACGCUUGAAUACAUUAGCAUGGAAAAAUGAAAUAGGACGAUCGAUCCUAUUUUGUUGGUUUCUAGGAUUGACGUA